CCUACGGGGGGCAGCAGUGAGGAAUAUUGGUCAAUGGACGAGAGUCUGAACCAGCCAAGUAGCGUGAAGGAUGACUGCCCUAUGGGUUGUAAACUUCUUUUAUAAAGGAAUAAAACGAGGCACGUGUGCCUUUUUGCAUGUACUUUAUGAAUAAGGAUCGGCUAACUCCGUGCCAGCAGCCGCGGUAAUACGGAGGAUCCGAGAGUUAUCCGGAUUUAUUGGGUUUAAAGGGUGCGUAGGCGGGCUGUUAAGUCAGCGGUAAAAAUUCGGGGCUCAACCCAGUCCGGCCGUUGAAAAUGGGAGCCUUGAGUAGGCGAGAAGAAGGCGGAAUGCGUGGUGUAGCGGUGAAAUGCAUAGAUAUCACGCAGAACCCCGAUUGCGAAGGCAGCCUUCCGGCGCCCUACUGACGCUGAGGCACGAAAGUGCGGGGAUCGAACAGGAUUAGAUACCCUGGUAGUC
rnacentral:rRNA from 1 species